rnacentral:rRNA from 1 species
AGAGUUUGAUCCUGGCUCAGAACGAACGCUGGCGGCGUGCUUAACACAUGCAAGUCGAGUGCGCGGUUGUAGCAAUACAACUGGCGCACGGCGCACGGGUGCGUAACACGUGGGCAAUCUGCCCUCCGAUGGGGAAUAACUCCGGGAAACCGAAGCUAAUUCCGCAUAACAUUCCUUGGACUCCGGUUCGGGGAAUCAAA